UAACGCUGGCAGUGUGUAUAAUACAUGCAAGUCGACUGCAUUUAGAUGCAGGGCAGACGGGUGAGUAACACGUUGGUUAUCUGCCCCGAACUCAGGGAUAACAUCGAGAAAUCGGUGAUAAUACCGGAUAGUCCCGCAAGGGUAAAGAUUUUUCGGUUCGGGAGGAGCCUGCGUAGUAUCAGCUUGUUGGUGAGGUAAUGGCUCACCAAGGCUAUGACGCUUAGCUGGUCUGAGAGGAUGAUCAGUCACAAUGGAACUGAGACACGGUCCAUACUCCUACGGGAGGCAGCAGUAAAGAAUCUUCCGCAAUGGACGAAAGUCUGACGGAGCAACACUGCGUGGUGGAUGAAGGCCCUCGGGUCGUAAACACCUUUUCUGGGGGAAGAAGUUCUGACGGUACCCCAGGAAUAAGCAUCGGCUAAUUACGUGCCAGCAGCCGCGGUAAUACGUAAGUCGCAAGCGUUAUCCGGAAUUAUUGGGCGUAAAGCGUCCGUAGGCGGUUUUAUAAGUCUGUAGUUAAAUCCCA
rnacentral:rRNA from 1 species